CUGGCACGAUGAGGAUGAAAGAUUUACAGUCUGAUUCAUUUGAUGAUUCGAAUCACCUCCUACUCAUUCUGA
rfam:Cephalotus follicularis DNA, scaffold: scaffold625, isolate: St1.